GUUAGGUUAAGUUUAGUGUGUUCGUGGUUAGGUUAGGUUAAGUUUAGUGUGUUCGUGGUUAGGUUAGGGCGAGUCUAAACCCACCCACUUGUCAGUACUGUACUGUAUAUAAUAUGUACAGUACAGUACUGACAAGUCUACGGUUAACACACACGCACACACACACACACACACACACACACAGAAAAAUAAGAAUAAAAUAAAAAACAGAGGAUUGGUUGAAUUUAAGGGAAUUAAUUGAUGGAUUUAAGAAUUAAUGAAAGGUUCUGUCCCUGGGAUCAAGACGUGGUGUUAUUGCUGGCGAUAUCUGGCAAUUAUCUGCCUAAGGAUCGUAAGUUUCUUGCAUGUUGUCAUUCAUUUAUUUUCUAUAACGAAAAGCAGUUCGUGUUUACUAACUAAACCAAUGCCAUCUGUGACACGUACUCGAUGCCAGAUGUUGCUAAGUGAGGGGGAAAAUUUUGGCCGUAAGUGUGUGUGUGUGUUUUAUGUGUGUGUGUAGGUGUGAAGUAUGUCUUAUAGUCUUGUGCCCACAUGAGCAUCCAUGGCAAUCAUCCAACAACAUAACUAAAGAAGACUACUGAGGAUAAAAUCUAUUUUAAAAUCUCACGUGAUUAUCAAGGAUUCAAAAUUAGAAUUCUGAUUUUAGAUUAGAUUCUGAAUUUGGCAGAACAAUCCACGAAUAACCAAAGUUUAUUGGCUAUUGGCACUCCCUCCUCACACCCUUUGUGGAAGAUGUAAUAUUAAAGUUUAAGGUGGGAUCGCCAAUUUGGAGUUUCUAAAAAAAAAAGAUUUGACUGGUAACCUUGUAGAGUUGGCGUCGAAGCGGGAAUUGGAAAUCAUCACCAAAGAAGAUAUUUGGCUCUAAUUCCCAGGUGAGAUUUAAGAUUAGAAUUCCGAGGUAGGAAUUUUAGUGCGACUUUUGAACUGGGGCAUUACAGUGUGAAGUGGGGAUUUAAGGAUAUAUAGUUGGAAUGUCUAAUGUCCAAAUUUUAGGAAAUGCGUGGAGAUUGGAGUGGGCAUAACGUAGGAACGAACAGAAGUGUAAUGUAGGAAUUUUAAAAGGCAGUACAGUAGGAAGCAGGAAGUGAGGUGUAUCUUGAGAAUCUGAUUUGGAGUUACGACGAAUUACAGGUGCAAAUAACAACUCAUAACAUCUGCACGUUGACUAACAUUAUCUUUUCGCGUUAACAUCAGCGCGUUCACUUACUAUCUAACACGGCUCUCACACGGUAACAACAGGGCGUUCACAAACCUCGCCAAUGCAUUAUGAGUUCACAAAUAGACGCUCGGGGUCAGCUGGUUCCUCCUUUAAAACCCAGUGGACGGCUACAAGCAGCAUGAUCUCUGUUUGUUUGUUUACCAGCGCCAGGUAUUCUUGAAGCUCAACCUUUGGCAGUCAGUUCACCAGCCGAGAGAUAAGAGCCUUUAAUAUCCGUGUUGCAAAUACAAUUUUUAAUAUUAAAUCCGCGUUAAUUUAUUAU